rnacentral:rRNA from 1 species
UUGAUCCUGGCUCAGGAUGAACGCUAGCGGCGCGCUUAAUGCAUGCAAGUCGAGCGAUGAGGCCUUCUUCGGAGGGCACAUCAGCGGCAGACGGGUGAGUAACACGUGGGUGACCUGCCCUUGAGACGGGGAUAACGGAUGGAAACAUGCGCUAAUACCCGAUAGGGUCCCAGGGUCAAAGCUGGGAUGAAAGCUUUGUGUGCUCAAGGAGGGGCUCGCGGCCCAUCAGCUAGUUGGUGAGGUAACGGCUCACCAAGGCGAAGACGGGUAGGGGGUGUGAGAGCACGGCCCCCCACAAUGGGACUGAUACACGGCCCAUACUCCUACGGGAGGCAGCAGCAGGGAAUAUCGCACAAUGGACGGAAGUCUGAUGCAGCGACGCCGCGUGGAUGAUGACGGCCUUCGGGUUGUAAAAUCCUUUACGGGGUGACGAGGAAGGACGGUAGCCCCGGAACAAGCGUCGGCUAACUACGUGCCAGCAGCCGCGGUAAGACGUAGGACGCAAGCGUUAUCCGGAUUUACUGGGCGUCAAGCGUCUGUAGGCGGGUGAGUAAGUUGGGCGUGAAAGCUCCGGGCUCAACCCGGAGAGGCCGUUCACUACUGCUGAUCUAGAGGAGGCCAGAGGGGAGUGGAAUUCCUGGAGUACCGGUCACAUGCGCAGAUAUCAGGAAGAACACCAGUGGCGGAGGCGGCUCCCUAGGGCCCACCUGACGCUGAGAGACGACAGCUAUGGGAGCGAACAGGAUUAGAGACCCUGGUAGUCCUAGCCGUAAACGAUGGAUGCUAGGUGUAGGGCCGUAGAGGCUCUGUGCCGGAGCGAACGCGAUAGGCAUCCCGCCUGGGGAGUACG